rnacentral:rRNA from 1 species
UUUUCCUACGGGAGGCAGCAGUCGGGAAUAUUGCGCAAUGGAGGAAACUCUGACGCGGUGACGCCGCGUGCAGGAAGAAGGUUUUCGGAUUGUAAACUGCUUUAGACAGGGAAGAAACAAGACAGUACCUGUAGAAUAAGCUCCGGCUAACUACGUGCCAGCAGCCGCGGUAAUACGUAGGGAGCAAGCGUUAUCCGGAUUUAUUGGGUGUAAAGGGUGCGUAGACGGGAAGGCAAGUUGGUUGUGAAAUCCCUCGGCUUAACUGAGGAACUGCAACCAAAACUAUCUUUCUUGAGUGCUGGAGG